rnacentral:rRNA from 1 species
UACGUAGGGGGCAAGCGUUGUCCGGAUUUAUUGGGCGUAAAGAGCUCGUAGGUGGUUUGGUAAGUCGGAUGUGAAAUCUCCAGGCUCAACCUGGAGGGGUCAUUCGAUACUGCCAUGACUAGAGGUCGGUAGGGGAGUGUGGAAUUCCUGGUGGAGCGGUGAAAUGCGCAGAUAUCAGGAGGAACACCUGUGGCGAAAGCGGCUCACUGGACCAUAACUGACGCUGAUGCACGAAAGCUAGGGGAGCAAACAGG